UACGGAGGAUGCGAGCGUUAUCCGGAUUUAUUGGGUUUAAAGGGUGCGCAGGCGGGAGAUUAAGUCGGCGGUGAAAUUUUGCAGCUUAACUGUAAAAGUGCCAUCGAUACUGGUUUCCUUGAGUGUAGAUGAAGUAGGCGGAAUUUGUGGUGUAGCGGUGAAAUGCGUAGAGAUCGGGAGGAACACCAGUGGCGAAGGCGGGUAACUGGACUGCAACUGACGCUGAGGCGCGAAGGUGUGGGGAGCAAACAGGAUUAGAUACCCGCGUAGU
rnacentral:rRNA from 1 species